AACCAGCACUUUGAUGUUACUACGGAGAACAAAGACAGAGAAAGAAAAGAGCGGCGAAUGUCCGCGCGUAACGCGAGGGCUUUCUUGAAGCUGCGAGUAAAAAGGGGGGAGUAGGAUAACCAUGCUUCUCGAGUAUCGCUACGUGAGAACGAGCUGAUUAUUCAUCGUUCUACGGAAACGUUCGGGCACUGAUAAUGUUGCCGCUCUGGCAUGCAUCCUGAUAAUCCUUUCUAUCAUUAAUUCUUCAUAUAUGAAACGAAACAGUAUAUUAAUAAAAUUUCAUUCGUUAAAUGAUACGGUAUAUUUACAUCAUUGCGUUACGUAGGUUAGACUUUCCUUGGAUUCUUCCAUCUCUCCUUGGAAUCUCCCGGUCUUUACCAUUCUCCCUAGGAUCUUCAUAGUAGGCGCUCCCGAUUCUCUGUAGACUCUUCCAUCCUUCCUAGAAUUUUUUUAGGUCUUUCUAGGCACUUCCAAUUUUCUCUAAACUUUCUAGGAUUAUCCAAAAUUUUUCUAAGCUCUCCCAAAAAUUUCGCUAAAACCAUCAUAGGCUUUUUCGGAUUUUUUUGAGUUUUCACAUUUUUCUUAAGAUGUUCUUGAGAUCUUUGUAAGUGUUCUCGAUUCUUCCUAAGGAGGGGACUUUCUAGAUUUUGCCACUCUCCCUAAAUCUAAGGGUGCUCUUAGUUCUCCCUAGGCUAUCCCAUUCUUCUCAAAAUGUCCCUAGAAUCUUUAUUGGUAUUUUUAGUUUUUCCUAGGCUCUUUUACUAAAAUCUAGAAGCUUUCUAUACUACUGUAAGCGAAUCUCAAUAAUAAAAAAUAUUCAUCAAGUUGCCAACGAGUCAGACAGUUUUUAAUAAUGAAAAAUGAAUGGAAAAUUAAUUACUGCAGAACAUUGUCGAGACAAGUUUAAAAAUUAACUUUUUGAAAAUGAAUUCACAAUUGGUUGUACACAUUAUUGUAUGCAAAUCAAUAUUAAUUAUUUAUUUUAAUAACUGAUGGGGAAACUGCUCUUAUCGAAGAAAUUUUUCUUGUUGGGUCAUGAGACUACUGUAUUAUACGGUGCAAAAUUGUAUUUGUUGUGCAACUAAAAAUAUUGUAACAGUUAAAGAAAAAUUUCUAUAAUUCAUGAGCGUACAAGAAAAUAUUUUGUAAACUGUUGAUUUACUGUAAGUGACAUAAAUGUGGACCACCAUGAUAUUAAAUUAAAAUAUGAGGUUUCUACGUCUUCCUUCGAGCAAGGAUGUUCUAUCCAGCUGACUGCAAUUUGAAAGGUCAAAAUCUAAUUUCCUCAGUUACAAAAUGAAACUUAUUACAACAGCCGCUGAUUUCAUAAAAUGUCCGUCCACCAAGGGGGCCGAGGGCAAUAAAAAAUAAAGCCUCUCCGUCGUCGUAUCACGUUAAUUUUAAAUAUUGUCAGCGCGCAAUUAGUUUGAGCGGUAAAGUCGGCAAUCUUAUCUUUCUUUGUCCGUUCUCACAAAACGGGUAGACCGCAGCAAGUACCAUAUUGUAAUCUACGAUACCACUUGUUCAUUGUAACAGCAACGCGCGUUAUAGGUCAUGCCUUUUUUUUCCACGUACGUACUAUUACCACUAUGUUGAAGACUCACAAGAUGGGGAGAAUCUACCAUUUUGUUUACUACUGUUCACCAUUUGUUUACCGAGGAAGACUAGGGGUCUAUAGGAGCCGAAGAGAUGAACAGUGACGGAUCCAGAGAGGAUACAAUGGAGUCUCCGCAACAAAUUAAUUCGUAUUACAAAAUAAAAUUACUUUUCUCUUCUCAAUUUUAUAUAAUGCAUAAAUAAUUCCUCUGAACAUUAUCACCGAAUUUAGACAAACAUCGUGCAAAGGAUUCAUGUAUAUCUCUCCUGAAGAGUACAACUUUUGGAUCCGCCCCUGGAGAUGAAACCCUAUAAUUACAAGAGUAUGCAACGCUGCGAUAAUUUUGAAAUUGUCGUAACAAAAUAAGUUCCAUGAUUGAACUUAACCACUCGUCAUCAUACCAAAAAACCUAUGUCCAACACUUUCAAUUACCCGAAGUAUACGUACAAUUACAUUGUCGUCCAUAAGUAUUAGGAUAAGUAUUAGGAUACGAUUUUAAUGAAUUAAGUACAUCUCCAAUUUUUUGUUACAUAGUUACCAUUAGAAUUUGGAAGUACAUUCGAAUGCAGUAGACUUUUGAUUAAAGGAGAAGCUGGGACCUCGGGGGAAGAUGUAGGGAAAGAUUUGGACCUAAGGGACCUAGGGAGUCAGAGAUAAUUCGAGGUGGUCUUAGGAAGAACUAGAGACUAUGAAAGGACCGGAGAACCAAGGAAAGCUAGGAAGAGCCAAGGAAAGCUGAGGAGAGCCAGGAAGAGCUAGGGAGAGCCAGGGAAAGCUAGGGAGAGCCAGGGAGAGCCAACGAAAUACCCGAAAGAUCCCAGAACAAGCUAAGGGUCGCAAAAUACCGAGAAAGUCAGCAUAACUCAAUCUCGAACCCUUUAUCCUCUUAAUUACAUUCCACAUCAUUUCUAAUAAUUUAUUCGUAUUUGAAUAAAAAAUAAAAAUUUGUGUCCUAAUACUUAUGGACGCCAAUGCAUAUCGAAAUUUUCAAGAUUACACAUGUAUAUACUUGUAUCAAAUUUUGUGUGUUCGAAUCACUUUUUGAAGAAAAAAAAAUAAGUGGGUGCUGACUGGUGUAGUAAACAAACUGGUGGUGCACAAUAUGAUUGAGUGGUGAUGUAUUAUGCUUUUCUAUCAUCUCGUGUAUAGAUUAUAAUUAAUCGUAAUAAUAAUAAUGAUGCGUAAUACUAAACAAGCCUUGUACACGCUCCAAGAAUCUAUUGAGAAAAAAGAAAAGAAAAAAUACAACAGAGGUAUACGCUUUGUUCCAUUCGAGUUUGUCAAAGUAUGAUUUGUUAAAAGCUAUGUUGUCUUUUUCUUUCUUUUCUUUUUAAAUCUUCCGCGGAGCGUAAAAGUAUUUCAAUGGAUUUAUAAAUAAAAUAGAAAACAAUGUUCUUAA